rnacentral:rRNA from 1 species
UUCUUCGGAGCUAGAGACCGGCGCACGGGUGCGUAACGCGUAUGCAAUCUACCUUUCACAAAGGGAUAGCCCAGAGAAAUUUGGAUUAAUACCUUAUAGUAUAACGACUUCGCAUGGAGUUGUUAUUAAAGAUUUAUCGGUGAAAGAUGAGCAUGCGUCCCAUUAGCUAGUUGGUAAGGUAACGGCUUACCAAGGCUACGAUGGGUAGGGGUCCUGAGAGGGAGAUCCCCCACACUGGUACUGAGACACGGACCAGACUCCUACGGGAGGCAGCAGUGAGGAAUAUUGGUCAAUGGGCGCAAGCCUGAACCAGCCAUGCCGCGUGCAGGAUGACGGUCCUAUGGAUUGUAAACUGCUUUUGUACAGGAAGAAACACUCCCUCGUGAGGGAGCUUGACGGUACUGUAAGAAUAAGGAUCGGCUAACUCCGUGCCAGCAGCCGCGGUAAUACGGAGGAUCCAAGCGUUAUCCGGAAUCAUUGGGUUUAAAGGGUCCGU